GACAUCCCGGAGACCCGUUAGGAAACAGGGGGUGGCUUCCAUCUGGAAGAAUCUGGAGACAGGUGCUGCAUGGCUGUCGUCAGCUCGUGUCGUGAGAUGUUGGGUUAAGUCCCGCAACGAGCGCAACCCUUGCCUUUAGUUGCCAGCAGUUCGGCUCGGGCACUCUAAAGGGACUGCCGGUGUUAAACCGGAGGAAGGUGGGGAUGACGUCAAGUCCUCAUGGCCUUUAUGACCAGGGCUACACACGUACUACAAUGGCCGAUACAAAGGGCAGCGACACUGCGAGGUGAAGCCAAUCCCGUAAAAUCGGUCUCAGUCCGGAUUGGAGUCUGCAACUCGACUCCAUGAAGUUGGAAUCGCUAGUAAUCGUGGAUCAGCAUGCCACGGUGAAUACGUUCCCGGGCCUC
rnacentral:rRNA from 1 species